GAUUGCUCUUCCUUUUUGUCAACAUUUUAGUGUGUUGUUAGUGAUUGCUCUGCUGUAAAUCCAUAUUCCAGAAGAAUAUACAAAUUCAAAUUGUACUUUGUUACUAUAGCUUAUUUUCAAAAUGGAACUUUAAUUAUUCAGUUUUUGUGAAAAGCUAAAUUUAUGUUUUCUUUUUGGUCGAGAGGUUGAGUAUCGAGGAGACACCAACUCCAUCUACACCAUCACGCUUACUAGA